GACGAACGCUGGCGGCGUGCUUAACACAUGCAAGUCGAACGGAAAGGCCCUGCUUUUGUGGGGUGCUCGAGUGGCGAACGGGUGAGUAACACGUGAGUAACCUGCCCUUGACUUUGGGAUAACUUCAGGAAACUGGGGCUAAUACCGGAUAGGAGCUCCUGCUGCAUGGUGGGGGUUGGAAAGUUUCGGCGGUUGGGGAUGGACUCGCGGCUUAUCAGCUUGUUGGUGGGGUAGUGGCUUACCAAGGCUUUGACGGGUAGCCGGCCUGAGAGGGUGACCGGCCACAUUGGGACUGAGAUACGGCCCAGACUCAUACGGGAGGCAGAAGUGGGGAAUAUUGCACAAUGGGCGGAAGCCUGAUGCAGCAACGCCGCGUGCGGGAUGACGGACUUCGGGUUGUAAACCGCUUUCGCCUGUGACGAAGCGUGAGUGACGGUAAUGGGUAAAGAAGCACCGGCUAACUACGUG
rnacentral:rRNA from 1 species